rnacentral:rRNA from 1 species
UACGUAGGGUGCAAGCGUUAAUCGGAAUUACUGGGCGUAAAGCGUGCGCAGGCGGUAAUGUAAGACAGUUGUGAAAUCCCCGGGCUCAACCUGGGAACUGCAUCUGUGACUGCAUUGCUGGAGUACGGUAGAGGGGGAUGGAAUUCCGCGUGUAGCAGUGAAAUGCGUAGAUAUGCGGAGGAACACCGAUGGCGAAGGCAAUCCCCUGGACCUGUACUGACGCCCAUGCACGAAAGCGUGGGGAGCAAACAGG